rnacentral:tRNA from 1 species
AGGGGUGUAGCUCAGUUGGUAGAGCGGCGGUCUCCAAAACCGCAGGUCGUCGGUUCGAGCCCGGCCGCCCCUG